UACGUAGGGUGCAAGCGUUGUCCGGAAUUAUUGGGCGUAAAGAGCUCGUAGGCGGUUUGUCGCGUCUGCUGUGAAAACUCGAGGCUCAACCUCGAGACGCCGGUGGAAACCGUAAAGCUAGAGUCCGGAAGAGGAGAGUGGAAUUCCUGGUGUAGCGGUGAAAUGCGCAGAUAUCAGGAAGAACACCCGUGGCGAAGGCGGCUCACUGGACCGGUAUUGACGCUGAGGUGCGAAAGCGUGGGGAGCAAACAGG
rnacentral:rRNA from 1 species